rnacentral:ncRNA from 2 species
AUAAUCUUGCAGAAAAAAGGUGCUGAAUAUUCAGCUUAAUAGGGAAUUCGAUGAAAAUCCGAAGCUGUUUCCGCAACUGUAAGUGCGAUGAAAUAAGGAUAUGCCACUGUUUUAUUUAACGGAAUCGGACGUAGCACUCAAUCUGUUAUGUAAAAUGGGAAGGUUCUUAAAGUAAAUGGAUGCACAAGCCAGGAGACCUGCCUUCUUUCCAUCGUAUUA